rnacentral:rRNA from 1 species
CAUCGUUUUUUGUUUAUUAAUUUAAAAUAUAACCUGCCCAAUGAGUUUUAAAUGGCCGCGGUAUUUUGACCGUGCAAAGGUAGCAUAAUCAUUAGUUUCUUAAUUAGAAGCUGGUAUGAAUGGUUGGACGAGAAAAUGACUGUCUCUUUAUAAUUGAAUAGAAUUUUAUUUAUAAGUUAAAAAGCUUAUAUAAUUUUAGAAGACGAGAAGACCCUAUAGAGUUUAAUUAAUGUUAAUGUAAAUUUUUGUUGGGGAUUAAUUAAUUUAUUUUUUCAUUAAUUUGGUUGGGGUGAUUAGGAGAUUAAUAGAACUCUUUUUGUUAAAAUUUAUUAAUUUAUAUUUUUUUGAUCCAAUAAUUUUGAUUAUAAGAUUAAAUUACCUUAGGGAUAACAGCGUAAUUUUUAUGGAGAGUUCUUAUCAAUAUAAGAGUUUGCGACCUCGAUGUUGGAUUAAAAUUUAUAUUAGGUGUAGAAGCUUAAUAAUUAAGUCUGUUCGACUUUUAAAAUUUUACAUGAUCUGAGU